rnacentral:lncRNA from 1 species
GCAAGUCUCUCUCAGCGAACCUCUCUGCACUGCUUAUCAUCAUUUUCAUCAAAGUCUAUUCACUGCGUGUUUGGUGUCCGAGGGGGCAGCAGCCUUGGUACUGGAAAUGCAAAAGAAAACAUGGAAGAAUACGAUGACAGAAGAGGAUCUAAAAAUGACUGGUGCAGACAAGCAUGUGCAAAUGGAGAAUCAAGAGGACCCCUGGCACAAUGGUCAGGCAUCGCUGGAGGGCAAGCAGGAUGCAAGAGGGUCAAGAGGCCUACUCACAUGCUGCAGCGAGCGGUGUUGUCCUACAUCAACUUCUUGGCCAAAUUGCCACUGCCCAGAAAGUUACUUCACUGCUGCGCAGUCCCUCAAGAUGCUCUCGGAAAACCCACAAAUGUGGUACCAUCACGGAAGGGGCAGCGGCACAUGCCCGAGCUGCCCCACAGCCAACGCUCACCUCCUGCUCUGAACCCUACAGUGACUCUACUUCUUAAAAACCCAAGAUGUUUCCCUCUGCCUCUUGUCUCUUUCUUCUUCCUGUUCUUUCUUCUUCUCCUCCUCCCUACACCUCCUCCCCACCCGUCUCGCCUUCAGAGGCUCUGGUGUUGGUAAGGCUCAGGGAAGGAGAGGAAGAGAGGUGUGAAAAGCUGGAAGCUUACUUCAAGGAGAUGGUGCGGUGCAGUCAAACAACCCUGCUAUUCUGCCCACACAGAGCAAGCAGAUUCCUGCCCUGAGAGGUUCGGUAAGUAGAUGAGAGAUUCCAGGGUGGUUGCAUUAACUGGCAUCACUCCUUGAGGAGGUAACACCAGAACUGCUCUCACACCACGGAUGGAUUUACUGCCUUCCAGAUGGCUGCUAAGGCUGGAUACCUGGUCUGGCAAACCCGGUGUAAGCAACAUCUGGACACCAAGUCCUUGUCUGUGACGUGGGGAGAAUGUAUCUAAUGUUCCUUCUACCACUGGUAUCUGGCUUUAGAUCCACCUCCAGGUUCCUACCCAAGGUCCACUGACUCUAAAAGACCCCAGGAUGAGCUCAGAAGGAGGAAGUGUGUGUGUGUAUUCAUCUGAAGAAAUGACCUAUAUUUUCAUGAGGCUCUGGAGUAGGGGGCAAAACCCUGAAAUUGUUAAGAAACACAAUCUCAUAGCUGAAGGAACCAGGAUUAAAGGGCAGUCAUGCAGAAAAAGGCACACACUGUAGUCUGCCUGGCCUCCCACGAAGGAACUGGAACUGGUGGGUGAAAAUACAGGAAGGCCAAUUUCAGCACAGUAUAAAAACCAAUGACUUGAGUGAUGCAGAAAUAAAGCAGACUAUCGCCCAAAUCACUGAAGUCCUUGUCACCAAAGUAUUUAAUCAACCACUCUCGUUGAUGUUGGGGUACAAGAAAGACUGAUGGCUGUGAGUCUGGUCCAGCUCUCAGCCAGCUGGACUGAAGGGAUGUUGUGGUUUCUGAGGCCCUCUCAGAUGAAACAGCGAGAAAAGAGAAACAUCAAACUGUACCUGUCCCAUGUUUGAAUUGUAGGAAAAAAUUCUAAGUGUGGGAAGCUGUUUGGACAGACUGCUUGUUGACCUUUCAAGUCUCCCAGUGGAAAAGGACAUCUUCAGUUGGUUUGUUAAACCUCUCAGCUCAAGUCUUCAAGAGUUUGGAAGAGCAGCUUUUAUCCCUCUGGCCCUGGGCUGGGCUGGAUCCUGCCCUGGUACCUGGAAGCUGCAAAACAUAUCUUUAUUUUUACUCUUUCAUGUACUUUUCCUCCACUGUAUUCUAUAUGAUACUAUGUGAAAUGUUUAUGGACUUUUUCCAAAAAUUUAUUUUUGCAGUAAAUGUAAGAAAAAGUUAAUUAUGUUUAUGCAGUUAUUUAUAAGUUAAAUUUUGUUUUCAUUGUUGUGGUGGUACUGGGGAUUAUACCCAGGGCCUUCACACUGAGCUAUAUCCCCAAAACUCUUUGUGGCUUUUUUUUUUUUUGAGAAGUUAUCCAGGUUAUCCAGGUUGGGCUUGAACUUAUGAUCCUCCUGCCUCAGCCUCCCAGAAUGCUGGGAUUAAAGGUGAGAGCCACCAUGCCUGGCUUAUAAAUUUAAUAUUUUAAAGAAAAUCU